UACAGAGGGGGCAAGCGUUGUUCGGAAUUACUGGGCGUAAAGGGCGCGUAGGCGGCCUUCUAAGUCGAACGUGAAAUCCCCGGGCUCAACCCGGGAACUGCGUCCGAUACUGGAAGGCUUGAAUCCGGGAGAGGGAUGCGGAAUUCCAGGUGUAGCGGUGAAAUGCGUAGAUAUCUGGAGGAACACCGGUGGCGAAGGCGCAUCCUGGACCGGCAUUGACGCUGAGGCGCGGAAAGCCAGGGGAGCAAAGCGGGG
rnacentral:rRNA from 1 species